GACGAACGCUGGCGGCGUGCCUAAUACAUGCAAGUCGAACGCAGUGGGGACGGGUGCGUAACACGUGGGUAACCUCCCAUCAGAGGGGAUAACACUUGGAAACAGGUGCUAAACCGAUACUGAUGGAUGGACCCGCGGUGCAUUAGCUAGUUGGUGAGGUAACGGCUCACCAAGGCCACUAUGCAUAGCGGACCUGAGAGGGUGAUCGUCAACACGGGGAAUGAGACACGGCCCAGAGUCCUACGGGAGGCAGCAGUAGGGAAUCUUCGGCAAUGGACGAAAGUCUGAACGAGAAACGCCGGUUGAGUGAAGAAGGUUUGCGGAUCGUAAAACUCUGUUGUUAGAGAAGCGGUAUCUAACCAGAAGGCCACGGCUAACGACGUGCCAGCAGCCGCGGUAAUAC
rnacentral:rRNA from 1 species